rnacentral:rRNA from 1 species
CGGACGUGGAUAACCUGCCUCACACAGGGGAGUAACAGUUGGAAACGGCUGCUAAUACCGCAUAAGCGCACAGCACCGCAUGGUGCAGUGUGAAAAACUCCGGUGGUGUGAGAUGGAUCCGCGUCUGAUUAGCUAGUUGGCGGGGUAACGGCCCACCAAGGCGACGAUCAGUAGCCGGCCUGAGAGGGCGACCGGCCACAUUGGGACUGAGACACGGCCCAG